GAACCCACUAACGUUGAAAAGUUAGGGGAUGAGCUGUGGAUUGGAGUGAAGGCUAAUCAAGCCGGGGAUAGCUGGUUCUCCCCGAAAAUAUUGAGGUAUUGCUCGGAUGAAUUGCACCGGAGGUAGAGCACUGGAUGGGCUAGGGGUCUUACCGGACUACCAAACCCAACCAAACUCCGAAUGCCGGUGACAACUGUCCGGGAGACAGGCUGCGGGAGAUAAGUUUCGUAGCCGAGAGGGAAAGAGCCCAGAUCGUCAGCUAAGGUCCCAAAGUUCGUGCUCAGUGUUAAAGGAUGUGAUCGCGCAUUGACAGCCAGGAGGUUGGCUUAGAAGCAGCCACCCUUUUAAAGAGUGCGUAAUAGCUCACUGGUCAACGCGAGAUCGCGCCGAAAAUAUAACGGGGC
rnacentral:rRNA from 1 species